GACGAACGCUGGCGGCGUGCCUAAUACAUGCAAGUUGAGCGAUGAAGAUUGGUGCUUGCACCAAUUUGAAGAGCAGCGAACGGGUGAGUAACGCGUGGGGAAUCUGCCUUUGAGCGGGGGACAACAUUUGGAAACGAAUGCUAAUACCGCAUAACAACUUUAAACAUAAGUUUUAAGUUUGAAAGAUGCAAUUGCAUCACUCAAAGAUGAUCCCGCGUUUUAUUAGCUAGUUGGUGAGGUAAAGGCUCACCAGGGCGAUGAUACAUAGCCGACCUGAGAGGGUGAUCGGCCACAAUGGGACUGAGACACGGCCCAAACUCCUACGGGAGGCAGCAGUAGGGAAUCUUCGGCAAUGGACGAAAGUCUGACCGAGCAACGCCGCGUGAGUGAAGAAGGUUUUCGGAUCGUAAAACUCUGUUGGUAGAGAAGAACGUUGGUGAGAGUGGAAAGCUCAUCAAGUGACGGUAACUACCCAGAAAGGGACGGCUAACUACGUG
rnacentral:rRNA from 1 species